CGGCGACCGGCGCACGGGUGCGUAACGCGUAUGCAACCUACCCAUUACAGGGGGAUAACACUGAGAAAUCGGUACUAAUACCCCAUAACAUCCAGGGAGGCAUCUUCUUGGGUUGAAAACUCCGGUGGUAAUGGAUGGGCAUGCGUUGUAUUAGCUAGUUGGUGAGGUAACGGCUCACCAAGGCGACGAUACAUAGGGGGACUGAGAGGUCAACCCCCCACAUUGGUACUGAGACACGGACCAAACUCCUACGGGAGGCAGCAG
rnacentral:rRNA from 1 species